GUUGAACGCUGGCGGCGUGCCUAACACAUGCAAGUCGAGCGAUUCUCUUCGGAGAAGAGCGGCGGACGGGUAAGUAACGCGUGGGUAACCUGCCCUGUACACACGGAUAACAUACCGAAAGGUAUGCUAAUACGAGAUAAUAUGCUUUUAUCGCAUGGUAGAAGUAUCAAAGCUCCGGCGGUACAGGAUGGACCCGCGUCUGACUAGCUAGUUGGUAAGGUAACGGCUUACCAAGGCGACGAUCAGUAGCCGACCUGAGAGGGUGAUCGGCCACAUUGGAACUGAGACACGGUCCAAACUCCUACGGGAGGCAGCAGUGGGGAAUAUUGCACGAUGGGCGAAAGCCUGAUGCAGCAACGCCGCGUGAGCGAUGAAGGCCGUCGGGUCGUAAAGCUCUGUCCUCAAGGAAGAUAAUGACGGUACUUGAGGAGGAAGCCCCGGCUAACUACGUGCCAGCAGCCGCAGUAA
rnacentral:rRNA from 1 species